AACGAACGCUGGCGGCAUGCCUAACACAUGCAAGUCGAACGAGACCUUCGGGUCUAGUGGCGCACGGGUGCGUAACGCGUGGGAACCUGCCCUUAGCUUCGGAAUAACUCCCAGAAAGGGGUGCUAAUACCGGAUAAUGUCUUCGGUCCAAAGAUUUAUCGCCUUUGGAGGGGCCCGCGUUGGAUUAGCUAGUUGGUAGGGUAAAAGCCUACCAAGGCGACGAUCCAUAGCUGGUCAGAGAGGAUGAUCAGCCACACUGGGACUGAGACACGGCCCAGACUCGUACGGGAGGCAGCAGUGGGGAAUAUUGGACAAUGGGCGAAAGCCUGAUCCAGCAAUGCCGCGUGAGUGAUGAAGGCCUUAGGGUUGUAAAGCUCUUUUACCCGGGAUGAUAAUGACAGUACCGGGAGAAUAAGCUCCGGCUAACUCCGUG
rnacentral:rRNA from 1 species